CCUACGGGUGGCAGCAGUGGGGAAUCUUGGUCAAUGGGCGCAAGCCUGAUCCAGCCACGCCGCGUGAAGGAUGAAGGCUCUUGGGUUUGUAAACUCCUUUCAUAUGGGAGCAAAAUGUGACGGUACUUGCGGAAUAAGAAUCGGCUAAUAACGUGCCUGCAGCAGCGGUGAUACGGCGGAGGCAAGCGUUCUUCGGAUUUAUUGGGUGUCAUGGGUGCGUAGGCGGGUGCGUAAGUCAGUUGUGAAAGCUAAGGGCUCAACCAUAAGCCUGCAGUUGAAACUGGGUUUCUUGAGUACUGGAGAGGGAAGCGGAAUUCGGGGUGUAGCGGUGAAAUGCGUAGAUAUAGCGAGGAACACCAGUGGCGAAGGCGGGUUACUGGACAGUAACUGACGCUGAGGCGCGAAAGCGUGGGGAGCAAACAGGAUUAGAUACCCCUGUAGUC
rnacentral:rRNA from 1 species